AAAGGUUAAGUAAAAUUAUUUUUGAUAUUUCAAAAAUUACUUGAUCGAGCAUGAUUUUUGUUGGAAAUUAAAUUGAGAAAAAGGGAAAAAUAAUUUCUGGAAAUCGUGUUCACAAGGAGCACGAUCUCUCGACUAGAGACAGCCCGUCUAUGCCCAACGACAGUCGUCGCACGCCUAUCGCUGGCAACGCUUGUGGUUGGCGCAACUGGGACAAGAAGGCUCGACGUCGCCGGGGUGGGGAGUUGCUGUGCGAUCCAGUGAAAUGGUGAGAUCGCGGCUCCGUUCGCGAUCCCGUCGGUGAUGGAGCUCUCGGUGCCGAUUCGGACCACCGGCGUGAGCGCAAGCGUCGCUGUCGUCGGAGAUCUGGGCUGGCGGCGGGAGCUAGUCGGGCGUUGUCGGUGGGCGGCUAAAGCUCGGCAUCACGCAGCAGGAGGUGGAGACCGAGAUGAGUCUCGGUUUUGCUCAUCGCAAUUUUUUCAAUCAUGCACUGCCGGUGAUGGAACGGGUUGGCCGUGGAAGCGCAAGCGUUGCGCGGUUGCUAGCGUCUCGGGCUGGCAUAAGCGGCUGCUGCAUGGUCAUUCGGCGACUGUGCAAGGACAACGUUCAGCGUUCGGCGGCGGCUAGGGUUGUUCUAGAGAAGAAGACGAAUUUGCAAGCCAAAUUAUGAUUUGGUCCCUGUACUUUUUAAAAAUUUUCAAAGUGGUCCUUUUGGGCAAAAAAUAAAUUUUAAAAAUUAUUUUCAGUCUUUAAAUUAAAUACCAUUUAAUUUAAAAUAGUUUUUAUUAAUUUGGGCCAUUUAAAUAUUUUGACAGUAAUUAAAAUUAAUUUUAAUAUAUUUUCUAAUUUGAUUAAAAUUAUGAAUAAAAUUGUUUUAUUCA
rnacentral:lncRNA from 1 species